AUUGCUUCUAUCCAAGAUCAAGUGUAAUAUCUGUCCUUAACAGUUUAAUAUGAUAUGUCCUCUUGGAGGACAAAAUGCUACGUGGGUUUUGGAAGCAGAGACUGAUGGGAGCCUGCUCUGUCAGCUCGUCUGCAGUGGUGCUAGGGGAGUAACUGACGACCAUGGUAAGAUUUUGCAGCCGCAUG
ensembl:snRNA U2 U2 spliceosomal RNA